UUAGUUAACUUAUAUAGAAUCGCAUGUCUCUAUUUUAGGUUCCGACGAUUGAUUUUCUGCACAGUUUUGACUAGAUAAUUUCUCUCUUUGAAGCUGCGUUAAGGUAAGCGACCGGACACCCAUUAGUUUUUGUAAAAUAAUUUAGAAAAUACUUUGAUUGUGUGCAGAUCUUUAUUUUGUAGAUUUUAAAAUUAAGGGUUAAGCAUAUAUUAAAUAUUUCUGUAAACUGAGUUUCAACUAUGAUUGAAAGAUUUUUUUAACAGAAAAUUUCAAAAUUUGAUAAUCUGUUCUAUAAGUUAAUGACUGGAUAAUUUUAAAUUAUAAUGUCUCUUGGUAUUCUGCUAUGCUAAUGGUGGCCAUGUCGACAUGUAUUUUGUUAUAGAAGUGAGCUUCGUCUUUAUAUUGCGCCUUCGGGUGCCUGCGCCUAUCCGCGCCUCUGUUUUGUUUGCGCCUUCGAGUGUCUCUAUUUUGUACAUGCACUUUCGGGUGCCUCUGUUCUGUUUGGACCUUCGGGUGCCUCUGUUUUGUUUACGCCUUCGGGUGUCUUUGGAUCUUACCAAUGGAUCAUAUGAUAUAGUUAGGUGCCGGAGACUUAAUAUUAUUCUGUUCAUUUACUGAAAGAGAAAUGCUUUGUAAAGUUAUAGUUUCAAUCCGAUCUGAAUUUUAAGUUUUGAUAAAUUCUUCUUUUCUAAAUUUUGCAAAUUAAAAACCAGUCGCUUGAAUUAAUUUCUGUAUUCAUUUAUUUAUUUGUAUUGUAUGCUUAAUCCGACUAAUGUGGUGUAUGGUUGCUUACCCAGGUUCUGAGAGCGAUUCGCAGGGCGGGGCUGGGAGCGAGUGAACGUUAGAUAUAGCUAGAUUUGAUUCUAGCCUUUUUCGUCUUCUUUCUAUUGCAUUUAGAUAUAAAUUUUGAACUUCGUAGAUAACCAUUUGUUUAUUGUUU
rnacentral:lncRNA from 1 species